rnacentral:lncRNA from 1 species
UUUGGCCAGGUAUGUGGCCAGGUUUGAGUGGGCGGCAUAUUUUUUCUUUCAAUCAACAAGCUCCUCCACGGCCCCAUUUUCUGCACCAAACCCUCCUGCGAGAAAAAAUAACCCCCUCCACAGCCGAAGUCCUCGCCCCCUUCCUGCGAUGGCCGGCGGCGGCGCUUCCCCUUCCCCGGCGGCGGCCGCCCCCCCGGCUGCCGUCCAGGUGCGCUGCGCCGGCUGCCGCGGCGUCCUCGCCGUGGCCCCCGGCAUGACCGAGUNNNN